GCCUUGAGCCUUUUGACUCGAACUGACAUGAUACCCUCCCCAAGCCCAAAUGUUAAAAAUGAUGCUAUUAAAAAAGUGUGCAGCGCAUCAACUCUCUUUAAGAAGUUCAGAUUACAGUUUGAAUCGGACAGCAGUCAAUCAAAUUGUGGCAGCUGAGAAAAGGUUACGUGUGGCAGUGCAGAGGAAUGUCGGUGGGUGAAUUCAGUCGGAGCCUUUGGAAAGAUUAUACCCAAAAUUAUUAUUUCGGAUAUAUAGACUACGCUGUAGUCAACAAAAAACGGAUUGCAACUUGCAAAACAUGCGGGAAGAAAAUUACAGACGGAGGAGCAACAACUUCCAACUUUGUUCGACAUUUGAAGCUGCACAAAGAACGAGGACCUGAGCCCUAGGACCAUGCCUCAGGACUACCUGGCCUGAUUACUCCUUGCUGUCCCCAGUCCACCUGGUCAUGCUACUGCUUCAGUUUCAACUGUUCUGCCUGCGGCUAUGGAACCCUGACCUGUUCACUGGACGUGCUACCUUGUCCCGGACCUGCUGUUUUGGACUCUCUCUCUACCACACCUGCUGUCUCUAACGCUGAAUGAUUGGCUAUGAAAAGCCAACUGACAUUUACUCUUGAGGUGCUGACCUGUUGCAUCCUCUACAACCACUGUGAUUAUUAUUAUCUGACCCUGCUGGUCAUCUAUGAACGUUUGAACAUCUUGGCCAUGUUCUGCAUGUUCUGUUAUAAUCUCCACCCGGCACAGCCAGAAGAGGACUGGCCACCCCUCAGAGCCUGGUUCGUCUCUAGGUUUCUUCCUAGGUUCUGGCCUGUCUAGGGAGUUUUUCCUAGCCACCUUGCUUCUACAUCUGCAUUGAUUGCUGUUUGGGGUUUUAGGCUGGGUUUCUGUACAGCACUUUGUGACAUCGGCUGAUGUAAAAAGGGCUUUAUAAAUAAAUGUGAUUUAUUGAUUGAUCGGCCAUUGGACAUAAAGAUUACACAACAAGUUGGAAAUCACAAAUUAAACAAUACAUUUUUCCGAGUUCCCACCAUAAAUCCAGAGAAUGCCAGACAAGCCAAGGUGAGUCCAAAAAUGUCUUGUAUGCUGCUGCAUAAAUGAUGUAAUAUGCAAGGUAGAUAUGUAUACUGUAGCUAAGAAAGUAAUACUAAGUGUAUGUUGUGUAGUAAGCUGUUAGUAGCCCAUGUGCCUCACCCUAAUAAUUUGGUCUAUUUUCACCUCUUGAUUUCACCUAACGUUACUGUUCUGACUUGGUGGUGCUGCACAUGUAGCCUAUAACCUGUUUUUGAGAAAUAUCAUCAUCCAAUAUUGUAAUAGGUUUCAUUGUCUGCGUAUAUGCCCCCUUUAUUUAUCCUAUGGUUCUGACGUGGUGUACAGGGAAAAUACUCUAAGAGCAGCCCAUGUUCUGCAUUCUGUCGCUGUACAUUUCAAAAGUACUGAACACAGUUAUAUUGACCACGUCCGUUGUUGCUCACUCAUGUCUUAAUCGAAAUUACGGAAUGCCUAUUAUCCGCUCAUUGUUUCCUUUUGCCAUAGAUUGUACAUCUCAAUUGUCAGUAGAAACUGCAUUUGUUUAAGCAAGUCAGCCAUAUCAGCUAUGUUUUUUAAAAAGGCAGUAAACGAGGCUGAAUUCAUUGUUUCGCUGACAGACAAGGCUCCGCUGAUAGCCAGGUGUAGCGGUGGUAAGGAUUCACUCCAUGGUGCUGAAAAGAAACCUCUGCUGUUGGGACAGCUUUGUGUAGGCCCUAACAGUUUGUGGGCACCGCUUGUUGCCGUAGUGUCUUGGCUGGCAUGCUGCUAAACAUUUGUAUUUAUUUUUUUCCCCAAUAAGCUAGAUUUACAUGCUAAAAUCGCCACUGCUUGUAUGAUUUUAUUGAAGCCUUAGUGUAACGUUCGCCGUAAGGAGUGGACCAAACUGCAGCGGGUAUAUUUAUCAUCUUUUAUUUGAAGGAAAAAACAACAAAACACUUACACAAAACAAACGACGGAAAACAGUCCCGUAAGGUGCUCAGACUAUACAGGGAAACAACCACCCACAAACACAAGUGAAAACACACACAACUAAAUAUGGCCUCCAAUCAGAGAGGACAAGAAACAGCUGCUUCUGAUUAGAGGUCAUUGACAAAACUAACAGACAUAGAAAAACCACAUAGAAAUAGAAAACAUAAACCAAAAACCCCGAAACACACUAAACAAACACCCCCUGCCACGCCCUGACCAAACUACAAUAACAAACAACCCCUUUUACUGUUCAGGACCUGACAGUUACACCCCCCCCCCCCAAGGUGCAGACCCCGGACGCACCGAAACAAAAACCCCACAAAAAAUAACCCCAAACAUAAAGGGACGGAAGUGAGGGUGGCUACCGUUACCGACGGCUCCCGUGCUACACCCCCCACCCCCUCCCCAAUCCUCCAACUACGGAGGUGGCUCAGGCUCUGGCUUUAGUCCCCAUUCCAACCUGCCCACCCCCCUUGAAGGCUCUGGGCUGAGGUGCGUCGCUGGAGACCUCGGGCUGAGGAGUGUUGCUGGAGACCUCGGACUGAGGAGUGUUGCUGGAGACCUCGGGCUGAGAUGCGUCGCUGGAGACCUCGGGCUGAGGAGUGUUGCUGG
rnacentral:lncRNA from 1 species